UAGAGUAGCAGCAGAUAAUUACAUUAGGCCUCCCUUAACUAAGGGAGUUCCAUCUCUUUUCUCUGAUCUUUCGUCUUUGUAUAAUCACCCUGGGAAGGCAGACAUUUUGAAAUAACUUAUUCUUGUAUUUUUUCACAGCGCUCUUCAAGCUAAGAUAGAGAGUGAUGAUGAGGAAUUGGAAGAAGAGAAUAAUAAUGAAGCAAAGGAGGAGGAGGAGGAUAACAAUGAAGAAGGGAAUUCAGCAAACCCAAGUAGCAGCAGCACAGCAUCAAGAGAAGGGAAGAGAGGGAGUGGUGUGAGACAAUAUGUGAGAUCAAAGAUGCUAAGGCUUCGUUGGACUUCUAAUCUUCAUCUCUCCUUUGUCCAUGCUAUUCAGAGGCUUGGAGGUCAAGAAAGUAAUUCCACUCUCAAACAGUUGUAAGACUACACUUCAAUUUGACUUGGGAGGAGUUCAAUUUGAUAAAAUGGUCUGUUUCAAUCUUUUUUUAAGUGAUUCUUCUGUCUUGUGUCUAUCCUCUGAGUAUGCUACUAUUGUAGGUU